AACAGACUCUAAACUCUAGUAGGUGCCGAAAGAAAACUCUCCGUUGAGUUGGCUCCUUGGUUGAUGUUUUCUGCCACUUAGAAGCAAGUGUUUGGACAUACGGAUUUACAAGGUGACAAGGCUCGUGCCAAGCCUGGGGCCCCAAAUAUUGAGCAAGGCCAUAUUGCUUCAUAUGGUUGUUCUAUGCAUUUCAGGAACUUCUGGGUGUUGUCUGAGGGCUGAAAUGAUGACUUGCCAGCCUCAUGUUCUCUUAGUGGUCACUAUCAGCAAACCCCACCUUUGAGCAUGUCAGGUGCAUGGUCCAGGGCUCAUGUUAAGUGUUAUGACAACUGGACGGCUGGAUGUGGUCUUACCCUGAAAAUGUCUAUGGGUCUUCCUUGGAGUUUCCAGGCAUCCCCAGAGAAACCUUUCUCCCCUAUGCUUCCUUGGAUCUGUGGAAUUGUUUCCAUUUAUGCUUUGUCCCUUGGUCUGUCCCACGGUUGUAUAUAGCCCUGGCUACCUAUAAUUAUAUCUUCUACUGUGGAGCUUUGCCCUAUUCUGUCUUCACGGUUUCUUCGGGAAUUCCUUGAGCACAGAAUAUAGCUCUUCCCUUUUGCCAUCACAGAUGGACCAUAAGGCCGGCAUUGGCAGUCUACAAAAAGGAUUUCAGCCAUGGAUGAUCAGUAUUUAAAGAACGACAAACAGCUAACUAAUGGGAAGGAAUGAACUCUACGCUAAAAUUAUCCCCAGAUACCAGAGAGAUGAGGUUGAGGACAUAUAUUUUAAUUGAGGUUGAGGACAUAUAUUUUAAUUGAAAGAGGGUAAUGACGACAGGGAAGGAUAUGGCUACUUCCCACUUCUAUCAAGAACCUGAAUUUAUGAAAAAAGGCAAAUUAUAAAAGAAAUCAGUUUUUGGAAGUGUUCCUUUACAGUCAGAAGGAACUUUAAAAAUUACCUUGAGCAGCUUCCUGACCCCGUGGAUAAAGACCCAAGGCCUAGAGCAAUGGAAUAACUUGUUCAAGGUUCCUCUGGCCAGUGGCUGGAACUUCUCUUGUUGGGUAUUUAACAUGUAUCAGAUAUUAUUCUAGAUCCCACAUAAGCAGCCACAAAUGAAGUCAAGGUCAUUGCCCUCUUGGAGUUUAAACAUCAGUGGGGGAGGCAGAUAAUAACCGAUGAACAAGAACAUUUGAAACAGUGAUGAUACUUUGGACAGUAUCAAAGGAGGGAUGUGACAGGGAGAUGGAAGAGGUUCUGAAGACAGGACAUGGGUGCCAAGGCCUCAGGGUAAGAAGUACCAGCCUGUAACGUGGUGUGAGUGAGUGCAUGGGGGCACCACAGCCCUGCCAGUGCCUCCCAAGAAAGCAGUUCAUCAUUUCCAGGGAGGAUUUGUCAUCUCCUUACAUGCUUUUCGGAAAGGACACUCAAGCAGCACUGUGACGUGGCCCAUGUAGAAAGAAACUGAGACCUCCUGCCAGUACCUGCACCCACAUUGCCAACCAUGCAAGUGAAUUAUCUCAAAGCAGAUGAUGGAAGUCUUGACUGACAUUUAACUGCAGCUCAUCAGAGACCCCAAUCCAGAACUGCCUGCACUACUGCUGAACUCCUGAUUCACAAGAACUGUGAGAGAAAAUACAUAUUAUUGUUUUAAGCCACGAAGUUUUAUAGUAAUUUGUUAUGCAACUCUAAAGUAAUAAGGAAUAUAGGUCUCUGCUCUAGUUCUUGCCAAUAUUUUGUCUUUGACCUGGUUCCUGACAGAGAGCCCUAAAUUGUUGAUAAUUUCCUGAGUGAUAGGAGCAUUUUUGUUAUAAUGAGAUGACUCCUGGUGGGCUUCUGCAUGGGGGCUGGUCACCAGAGAGACUAAGCCAUGAUCAAAAACUUUGAACUUUCAGCCCCACUCCUCAUUCUCCAGAGAGGCAAGAGAGCUAAAAAUGAAGUUAAUAAUUGAUCAUGCCUAUGUGAUGAAGCCUCUGUAAAAUUCCUAAAGUAUGGGAUGUGGAGAGCUUUUGGAGUUGUUGAACACAUCCAUGUGCCAGGAGGGUGGGGCACCCCAGCUCCAUAGAAGGCAACAGAAGCUCCUGUGCUCAGGAUCUUUCCAGACUUUGUCCCAUGUACUUCUUCAUCAGACUGAUAGUUUGUAUCUUUUAAAAUAUCCUAGAGUUCCCGUCAUGGCUUAGUGGUUAAUGAAUCUGACUAGUAUCCAUGAGGAUGCAGGUUUGAUGCCUGGCCUCGCUCAAUGGGUUAAAGAUCUGAUGUUGCCAUGAGCUGUGGUGUACGUCACAGGCAUGGCUCGGAUCCUGAGUUGCUGUGGCUGUGGUGUAGGCUGGCAGCUACAACUCUGGUUCAACCCCUCGCCUGGCAACCUUCAUAUGCUGUGGGGUGUGGCUCUAAAAAGACAAAAAAUGAUAUAUGUAUAUGUGUAUAUAUAUAUAUAUACAUAUAUAUCCUUUAUAAUAAAUCAGCAACACUAAAUAAUUUUCCUGCAUGCUGUGAGCUGCUCCAUUAAAUUUUUGAGCCAGAGGAUGUGGUUGUGGGAAGCUCUGAUUUAUAGCUGAGGUGGACAGAAAUUGUGAGUUCCCUGGGGACCCACAACUGGUGACUGGCAUAUAAGGCGGCGGGGGGCGGAUCUUGUGAGACUGGGCGCUUCACCUGUGGGGACUGGGCCAAUCUAGGCAGUUAGUACCAGGACUGCCUGGUAUGGAUAAGCCACACAUCUGGGGUCAGAAGUGUAAACACAGGAGUGUUGCCUAUUCAGCAACAAUAUGUAACAUACAUUCUUAAUAGAGGCAGUGGUUCUAAUACUUAUGCACUUUUGAUGUAGGAAGAAUGCCUCAGGAUACAUAGUAUUGGAUGACUUUGUUUCUUAUCGUCUACCAUGUUUUAAUAAAACAUCAUGGAGAAAUACAGAAAACUAUUACUCUGAGUUUCUAAUGGACUAAUUGUUUAAAGUGUAUUCUAUCCAAUUCAGAGACAAUAAAGCAUCAGCGUGAAAAGCAUGGCCACUGGAACCAUGAAAACUAGCUUCUACUUUUUUUCUGGCUAUGUGGCCUUUGGCAUGUUAUUCAUCCAAGUCCCAGGUUUUUCACCUGUAAAAAUAUGCAGAACAAUCAAAAGUAUUGCACAGAGCUCUGACGGAAAGAAAUAUAAUAAUGCAUGUUCUUUGUACACUGCAUAGCUUGUAGUGAAUACUCAAUAAUGUCAGCUAUUACUGAGCUGCCAUCCAUAUUAAAAAUAUGUUGGUUCUGAUCACAUUUAAAAUGGAAAUUUGGUGAAUAAAGGAUAAACGC
rnacentral:lncRNA from 1 species